GACGAACGCUGGCGGCGUGCUUAACACAUGCAAGUCGAACGGAAAGGCACUGCUUUUGUGGGGUGCUCGAGUGGCGAACGGGUGAGUAACACGGGAGGAGCCUGCCCUUGACUUUGGGAUAACUUCAGGAAACUAGGGCUAAUACCGGAUAGGAGCUCCUGCUGCAGGGUGGGGGGUGGAAAGUUUAGGCGGAGGGGGACGGUGUCGCGGCUUAUCAGGGUGUUGGUGGGGUAGUUGCUUACCAAGGCUUUGACGGGUAGCCGGCCGGAUCACGUGACCGGCCGCCCUGCUACUGGUCUACUGCCCAGACUCCUACUGAAGGCAGCAGUGUGUAAUAUUGCACAAUGGUCGGUCGCCUGAUCCAGCAUCGCCGCGUGCGGGAAUACGGCCUUCGGGUUGUAAACCGCUUUCUCCUGUGACGAAUCGUUAGUGACGGUAAUGGUUAAAGAAGCACCUGCUAACUACGUG
rnacentral:rRNA from 1 species